UAUGCAUUCAUUAAAUUCAAUAGCGUUUUAAAUACGUACACAUUGCUCAAAGUCGUAAGCCUUGACAAAUAAAAAUAAAUUUGGUUCUGAAAAUUGGCUACAAAUGAAUACUGUUUCGAUUUCAAAAUUUAAAAUGCCUGCAUUUUUCAGAAAAUCCACCAUCUUUCAAUUACAUAAUUGCGCCAUCUCUUUAUACCAACCUAAAUUCCAGGAUCUGUGAUGUUAAACGUCGCAACGAUUUUACUUCCCCGAGGUAAACCUUCGCGCGCAUCGCUUAGCCAUGUCUGACUGGGGAUUUGUACAUACCUCAUCCGUAAUCAUCGGAGUGCAAAAUAUUUACUUGCCAGUUCAACCAUACAUACGUCAUCGCUACAGCAAUUUGGACCACCCUCCGUCAUAAUAAAUCUGCAACAUUAUCCAGUCCCCGCUGCAACAAGUAAUCUGUUAUCUUCCAUUUUCAACUAGGUUAUUACCACAAAUAUUUACGAACAAAUGUAUGCAUGUGAUACAUAUGUGUUUCUUUAUCUAAAAUAGCACCUAAUUCCACUACUGUAGAUUUUAAUUAUGACAAUCUUUCUAUGAUAUCGUAAAAAUUCUUUAAAUCCUAUACGCACAGGGAGCAAAAAAAAGUGAAUACAGCUUUAAGUAGUUUUUAUUACGGUUAGAUCCCGUGCCCUUAGCAAUUUGAAAUUCCGCGCGCAGUGAUGUAAAAAAGUUCUAACAUUUGACCUUCCCGUGACCAUAAAAAUCGGCGGCACGGAAUUAUUCGUCAAUUAGUUUAUACAACUGCGUGCAGAAUUUCAAAAUGCACGGGAUCAUACCAUAAUAAAAAAUAUGUAAAUGUUUAUUUGCUUUUUUGCUGACUGUACUUAUAAUUUGAUUAUAAAUAUCAACCUCUUAAAAUAAUUCUUAAAAAUUAAUCCUCAUUGUUUUAAAAUCUCACGAUAUUCGGAGCUUGUUAAGUUUUGCUAGUUACAGCACAGCGAGAAUUAGGAUACUAGCUGUUGAAAUCGUAAAACCUAAUAGUCCUUUUCACUUUAUCUAUGUAUUGAAACCACACAUAUUUAGUUGACGUCCGCGUCUCCUCCUAUAAGGAACCAAAAGUUAGAUCUGCAUAUGUACACAUAGGCAUGUCUUUUCACCUUUCUUUUGAGUUAAUGUAUGUAUCAAAUGUUAGGGAAUGCUAAUGACAGGAUAUUUGUAUUAUAUAUCCUCGCCUAUUGGCUUAUCUGGAUCAAAUGAAUCUUGAGUAUCUAUAAUUAAAUACGUCAAUCAAUAAUAAUUAGUUGCGUCAUGGAUAGCGUACUCAAUACCUGUAAAUAAGUAGCAUGGCUGUGUAAUCCAUGUUACAGUCGCCGAUUGGAUACUGGCUCAUUGUACGUUAUGUAAUUGCUGAGAUCUUGUUAUGCUAUCUAGGUUAACCUGCCUAAAUAUGAUGGUUUGAAGUGUAACUGCUCUACUCUUGUUGGAAUAUCAUUUGAGGCUAUUAGAGCUUCGUUUGCCUUUUUUCGAAUUAUAUCAUAGCUUGACAUUUCAACUGAAAUUAUUUAAUCAUACUAUUUCAUAAUACUUUUAGGUUAAUUCCGCUUUACUGGAAGUUGUGAGGGUUGUUGUAAGGGAGUUGAAAGAUCUACACCGGGUGUAGUGCAUUUUCGCUUCGGUCGACCACUCCUGACACAAAUAAUAUGCAAACCUUGGCUAUGUACUUUAACUGGUUGCCCAGACAGCAAAUCAUGCACUUGAUUAAUGUUUAUUUGCGGUUUCUCAUCUCUGAUGGAAAGUUGGACAUGUAAUCCUAAGUCUUGUGAUGGAUGUAUUGAUCCAGAAGUGUUGUCAAAUUCAUCGUUAGGAAUUGAUGCUAUUUGCUCGCGAUUAAUAAAUGAUGAAACUGGCGAAUUGUUGUCAAGUUUAUCUUCUUCUUUGAUUUGAUUUUCUGACUCAGGAAGCGAGGCGUAGGGGCGGCAGUAGUAUCUUCAGGUACUAAAUAUGUUUGAGUUAUCAUUAUCGCCUUUAAAAUCUGCCUGCGAGCAAUCAUUUGCCUUAUCCUUCCAACACCCACAUCUACUACUUUCUUAUUAUGCAAUCAUUGUUGUUGUCAAUUUUUCGUUCCUUGCCACUAAUAUUAAAUCUUGCUACAGGUCUCUUUGCAACACUGUGCUCUAUUUUGGAAAUCUUUGACUAAUUCAUGGAGGGUAGAGUAGUAAUUUUAUUAAUUUCUGAUUUUACACAAAGCUGUAAAUUUUUAAAACAGUGCUGCAUAUGGGCUGAGUUUUCAUUGAAGAGGAGAUAUUUUUAGCUUAAUUAGUUUAGUUGGGUUAGUUAGUUUGGUUCUAAAGAACCCAAUUUUAAUUAAAUUAAAUUCGGCUUAGGUUUUUGAAUGUAAAAUCAUUACCAUGUUUUUCCGUCUUUUGCCAUGGAAUUUAUGGUGCGGGUGGAAUUAGAUCCUAUGCGUUGAUUGCCGGAUGGGUAUUUAUUUCUCCUCAAAUACAAUUUA